GAGGGUUGGCCCCUCGGUUUCGGUAACCAGAUACUGGAACCAAACCGCCCUAUGCGGCAUUUAUUAAGAGUAUUUGUCGUGAGCGAUAGGGAAAAGGCAGAAUUAAUCUGUCAGGU
rfam:Delta proteobacterium ML8_D scaffold_10, whole genome shotgun sequence.